GUGUCAACCAGGGCUGGGAGCUCAUCUGAAGGCUCAACAGGGGAUGUAUCCACUGCAGGCCUCUUCUCAGGAUAUUGUUGACACAAUUUAGCUCCUUGAGGGUGCUGGACUGAGGGCCUCACUUCCUAGAUGACUGUUGGCCAGUGGCCACCAGCAAUUCUUUGCCACAUGAGCCUCUCCAGUAUUGCAGCUUGCUUCAUCAAAGUGUGCAAGACAAGAAGACAAAAAAGAGAGCUGCAAGAAAGACGGAAACCAAGAUCUCAUGUAACCUAAUGACAGAGGUGACCUCCCAUUACCAUUGCUGUAUUCUAUUAAAAGCAGGUCUUGCUCACAUUCAAGAAGAAGGGAUUAUACAAGGGUGUGAAUCCCAGGAGACAAGGACCAGUGGGGACAUCUUACAGCCUGCCCACCAUACCACUCAUCUAAUUUCAUGAAUCCACCUAGUACUUACAGCAGCACAUAAGAGCAACUGAGAGUCAGUUCUGCUUUUUGUGUAAGCUCAAGACACACUUUCAAGGGGCACAUAUUCUCAAACCAUGCAACAUGAUACCCCAGGGUUCUGCAGAUCUUCC
rnacentral:lncRNA from 1 species